rnacentral:tRNA from 1 species
GCCGCUUUAGCUCAGUAGGUAGAGCGUUUCCAUGGUAAGGAAAAGGUCGCCGGUUCGAUCCCGGCAAGUGGCU